GAUUAGAAGAACUAGCACAGAAAAGAGAAAUAUCAAAAUCUUUCCACCAUGUCAAUUUAGAUUAUUUAGGCAAAAAGAAAAUAAGGACUAGCAAUUCUGCUUCGAAUUUAACAUAAGAAUAUAAACAAAAUUAUGGUUGUCUUAUAUAGGAUUAGAUGCCUAAUUUUAUUUCUUGCAUCUUUCCUCUUAGGCACACGAUAGCGCCUAGCCUCCAGGUCCUCUUUUGUACUUUCAAUAACUAUGAUUCUAGAUCAAUCAAUGUUUAUGAUAUGUAUUCUACCCUAAGGUAAUGAAAGUAAGGAUCAUCCAAAUGAAAAGAGCAUACAUUAUGAGAAACACAUUGGGUGGUUUUCAGACAACUCUCAGCAGAUUACUUUGAAAUGGGAAGCUCAUCUCAUAAGUCAUAACAAUGUACACUACCAUUAUACCAACCUUAAUC
rnacentral:misc_RNA from 1 species